CUCAAAAUCACAAGGAUGCUGCCGCCCUUCGUUCCCCACCCACAAAAUCCCUAGCUUUCCUGUUGUUCCCCACCCACGCCGCCGCCCCACGCCGGCCAAUCCCCAUGCCUCCCACCACCGCCCCAUGUCGUCAGGGGCUACCGCCGGUCUAUCCCACUGUCACCCCAUGCCGCCCUGCCUCUGCAUCACCAUCCCACGCCGCCCUGCCUCUGUAGCACCGCCCCACACGCUGCCCCGUCCCCACAGCGCCGCCCAAUUCCGACAUGCCUCUCCACCGUCGGCUCCACACCCUCGGGCUCUCUCUCCGGUUGGCCGCCUCUCUCCAACCUCCCUGGCCCAACCCCCCAUCUCCAUCAUCCAGCUCAUGAAGACACACGCAGUGGCGGUGGCGGCGAAGAUUUGGAUCUGGGCCGCGUGCGGCUGGGCAAGGACAUCCCUCUCUGUCUUUGGCUGGGCAAGGGCAUCGAUGCGGCUGAGGUAGAACAGAGGACAGAUGCUGGUAACGUUGAGCCAACAAAGAGAAGUAGCAGAAUAUUUGCUAUGCCACUGUAGUGCAUAAGAGCAUGGGGAGCUUUUAUCGUUCUUGGAUUUCAUAAAAUAGAAGAGAUGACAGAAAUGGGGUGGGAGGUAUGUGGAAACAGAGCUUCUUACUUGUGGCAGUAGACGACUAGGCAGUUCAUGCAGGUCAGCCCUCAACACCUGACUCCCUUGAUCGGUGUCUUCCUCUUCUCCACUCAUCUAUAGAAGCUCUGGAAACAUGAUGUCUCUGUACUCUGGUAUGGGAUGGUGCGCUUUUAAUGACGAAAAGAAUGGCACGCACUCCAAAUAUCUUCCUAGAAAGUGGAUUAACUGAAGAAGAAUCUACUACAGAAGUAAGAUCUGGUUACAAUCAAUCUGAAAGGCAAAAUGAAUUCUGUGUGUGGGGAACAACAUAGCAGGUGAAUCUUAUCUGAACAGGGACGUCUUCCUCAUCCUGCCACUUAGGAAAGACAUACAAGACGAGGAAGGAACUAUGGAGAUAGUUUGCGUCAACUAGAUAGUUUGUGUAAGGUGCAAAAUAAUGCACCAUUUGGCUAUCAUUUUGUAAGCCUUUAUGUUGUAUUGUCAACUGGAUAUUUUGUACAAAAUCAAUGACAUGCAUCUAUUAUUGUAUCUUGAUUGAUAUUGUGUUGGAUGUUAUUGUAAUGAGAUAUUUUAUGUGACUUUA